GUCCUCUCUUGAACAGGACAUAUACUAAAAUUGGAACAAUACAGAGAAGAAUAGCAUGGCCCUGCACAAGGACCAUACGCAUAUUUGUGAAGCGUUCCAUAUUUUU